rnacentral:rRNA from 1 species
UACAGAGGGUGCAAGCGUUGUUCGGAAUUAUUGGGCGUAAAGCGCGUGUAGGCGGCUUUGCAAGUCGGGUGUGAAAGCCCUCGGCUCAACCGAGGAAGUGCGCCCGAAACUGCAGAGCUUGAGUGCCGGAGAGGAUGGCGGAAUUCCCCAAGUAGAGGUUAAAUUCGUAGAUAUGGGGAGGAACACCGGUGGCGAAGGCGACCAUCUGGACGGUCACUGACGCUGAGACGCGAAAGCGUGGGGAGCAAACAGG